rnacentral:rRNA from 1 species
UACGGGGGGAGCAAGCGUUGUUCGGAUUUACUGGGCGUAAAGGGCGCGUAGGCGGCCACUGCAAGUCAGUUGUGAAAUCCCCCGGCUUAACCGGGGAACUGCGUCUGAUACUGGAUGGCUAGAGAUUGGGAGAGGGACGCGGAAUUCCAGGUGUAGCGGUGAAAUGCGUAGAUAUCUGGAGGAACACCGGUGGCGAAGGCGGCGUCCUGGACCAACACUGACACUGAAAAGCGAAAGCCAGGGGAGCAAACGGG